rnacentral:rRNA from 1 species
AUUGAACGCUGGCGGCAUGCCUUACACAUGCAAGUCGAACGGCAGCACGGGUGCUUGCACCUGGUGGCGAGUGGCGAACGGGUGAGUAAUACAUCGGAACAUGUCCUGUAGUGGGGGAUAGCCCGGCGAAAGCCGGAUUAAUACCGCAUACGAUCUACGGAUGAAAGCGGGGGACCUUCGGGCCUCGCGCUAUAGGGUUGGCCGAUGGCUGAUUAGCUAGUUGGUGGGGUAAAGGCCUACCAAGGCGACGAUCAGUAGCUGGUCUGAGAGGACGACCAGCCACACGGGGACUGAGACACGGCCCAGACUCCGACGGGAGGCAGCAGUGGGGAAUUUUGGACAAUGGGCGAAAGCCUGAUCCAGCAAUGCCGCGUGUGUGAAGAAGGCCUUCGGGUUGUAAAGCACUUUUGUCCGGAAAGAAAUCCUUGGCCCUAAUACGGUCGGGGGAUGACGGUACCGGAAGAAUAAGCACCGGCUAACUACGUG